rnacentral:rRNA from 1 species
AUUGAACGCUGGCGGCAGGCUUAACACAUGCAAGUCGAGCGAGCGGCGGACGGGUGAGUACUGUCUGGGUAACUGGCUGAUGGAGGGGGCUAACUACUGGAAACGGUAGAUAAUACCGCAUACCAUCAGUUGUGCCCACAUGGGAUUAGCUAGUAGGUGGGGUAAUGGUUCACCUAGGCGACGAUCCCGAGCUGGUCUGAGAGGAUGACCAUCAAACGUGGAACUGAGACACGGACCAGACUCAUGCGUGAGGCAGCAGUGGGGAAGAUUGGACAAUGGGCGCAAGCCUGAUGCAGCGAGGCCGCGUGAGUGAAGAAGGCCGUCGGGUAGUAAAGCACUUUCAGCGGAGAGGCGUUAGUCACAGAGGAAGCAACGGCUAACUACGUGCCAGCGGCCGCGGUAAUUC